CUUCAAACUGUCUUUCGGAGCGCGCACCAGCCGAGUAGAGUCCCAUAUGUGCGCCGUGCGCGUCCUCGUCCCUGCGCGCUCCUUGCACUAACCCCAAAGAGCUACACUUCCUGAGGCACAAUGAUUUGGUCGCUUUGAAUCUCGCAAACGUCAGAGGUCAUAAGGCUUGAGAAGGCUUCACUUAUGGCUGCUCUCUCUGUGAGGAGAUCCUUGGGGUCAAGGCAUUCUUUGUGGAUUUCUGUGUUUCUCCUGCUCAUCUUCAUUCAGAUGUUAACCUCCCAGGUGCUCUUUGCUGGUGUAUUCAUCCUCUCCAACGAAACCCUCAUCAGCCCCUCUCACUUCUGUCUAAUAUUUCAACACGGUGAACUGACUUGUAGGGGGUACAGUAGCUUUGUUAUUGAAGCGAAUGAGGUAAAAAUUAACAUCCUCAUAACAACGGUUACCCUGGGAUUAUACGUUCCACUGGUGCUUGUGGCCUUUGCCCUGCUGGCCAUGCUGUUAGCAGCUUAUGCCGAAGAUAGAGCAGCACUCUGGUUGAGCAUGGCCUGCCAGGCGGCAUCAAGCCUGCUCAUCCUGACUGGCCUUAUUGCCUUUUUGAUACUCAAUUGGACGUAUGUGAGCUGGAAGCACAUGACCUUCUGGUUCUAUGACUGCGUGGGUGUGCAAGUUCAGCUGGUUUUCACGACGGCACUGACCUGUGUGUCAGGGAGGAGGCUGACGUCUGACUGGAAAUAGAUGGGUCCAAAUAAAAAAGUCACCCUCGCCUCAUUAACAGGAACUUGACUUGUAAUGCUUGAUAAAGGAAUAAUCACCUUUUGACAAUUAAAAUAUAUAUAUAUAUUUUUUUACAUGUUCUUUGUUAUGUUUUCACUAAACACAGGCCAAACCUUUUUUGGGACAUAUGUUGAUGAAAACUAAGUGUUAUUACAUGUUAUUUUUUACAGAUGUUACAGAUGUUUUCCCUUCUUUUGAUAAUCAACUGGAACAAGCUGUACUUGCUUUUGAAUGCUGUAAUUCUAGAUAGUGUGUAAAUGAACUCAAAUAAAGACUGUUUUCCUACUUUC